rnacentral:rRNA from 1 species
AGGGUUUGAUUAUGGCUCAGGAUGAACGCUGGCGGCAUGCCUAAUACAUGCAAGUCGAACGAAGUCUUUAGGAAGCUUGCUUCCAAAGAGACUUAGUGGCGAACGGGUGAGUAACACGUAGGUAACCUGCCCAUGUGCCCGGGAUAACUGCUGGAAACGGUAGCUAAAACCGGAUAGGUAUGAGGGAGGCAUCUUCCUCAUAUUAAAGCACCUUCGGGUGUGAACAUGGAUGGACCUGCGGCGCAUUAGCUGGUUGGUGAGGUAACGGCCCACCAAGGCGAUGAUGCGUAGCCGACCUGAGAGGGUGAACGGCCACAUUGGGACUGAGACACGGCCCAA